GAUGAACGCUGGCGGCGUGCCUAAUACAUGCAAGUCGAGCGAACAGACGAGGAGCUUGCUCCUCUGACGUUAGCGGCGGACGGGUGAGUAACACGUGGAUAACCUACCUAUAAGACUGGGAUAACUUCGGGAAACCGGAGCUAAUACCGGAUAAUAUAUUGAACCGCAUGGUUCAAUAGUGAAAGACGGUUUUGCUGUCACUUAUAGAUGGAUCCGCGCCGCAUUAGCUAGUUGGUAAGGUAACGGCUUACCAAGGCAACGAUGCGUAGCCGACCUGAGAGGGUGAUCGCCCACCCUGGAACUGAGCCACGGUCCAGACUCCUACGGGAGGCAGCAGUAGGGAAUCUUCCGCAAUGGGCGAAAGCUUGACGGAGCAACGCCGCGUGAGUGAUGAAGGUCUUCGGAUCUUAAAACUCUGUUAUUAGGGAAGAACAAAUGUGUAAGUAACUAUGCACGUCUUGACGGUACCUAAUCAGAAAGCCACGGCUAACUACGUG
rnacentral:rRNA from 1 species